rnacentral:rRNA from 1 species
AGUGAACGCUGGCGGUAGGCCUAACACAUGCAAGUCGAACGGCAGCACAGUAAGAGCUUGCUCUUACGGGUGGCGAGUGGCGGACGGGUGAGGAAUACAUCGGAAUCUACUUUUUCGUGGGGGAUAACGUAGGGAAACUUACGCUAACACCGCAUACGACCUACGGGUGAAAGCAGGGGAUCUUCGGACCUUGCGCGAUUGAAUGAGCCGAUGUCGGAUUAGCUAGUUGGCGGGGUAAAGGCCCACCAAGGCGACGAUCCGUAGCUGGUCUGAGAGGAUGAUCAGCCACACUGGAACUGAGACACGGUCCAGACUCCUACGGGAGGCAGCAGUGGGGAAUAUUGGACAAUGGGCGCAAGCCUGAUCCAGCCAUACCGCGUGGGUGAAGAAGGCCUUCGGGUUGUAAAGCCCUUUUGUUGGGAAAGAAAAGCAGCAGGUUAAUACCCCGCUGUCCUGACGGUACCCAAAGAAUAAGCACCGGCUAACUUCGUG